rnacentral:rRNA from 1 species
CCCUUAGAUGUUCUGGGCCGCACGCGCGCUACACUGACGAUGUCAGAGAGUGUCUCCUUCACCGAGAGGUGUGGGUAAUCUUUUAAACAUCGUCGUGCUGGGGAUAGAUCAUUGCAAUUUUUGAUCUUAAACGAGGAAUUCCUAGUAAGCGCGAGUCAUCAGCUCGCGCUGAUUACGUCCCUGCCCUUUGUACACACCGCCCGUCGCUACUACCGAUUGAAUGGUUUAGUGAGGCCUUCUGACUGGCGCCGCUACUCUGGCAACAGAGCGGCGGAUGCCGGGAAGUUGGUCAAACUUGAUCAUUUAGAGGAAGUAAAAGUCGUAACA